ensembl:lncRNA
GGGACCAGCCAGCACUGCUGGAAGUGGGACCUAUUACAGCCCCACACUCCAGGCCGAGCUGUAGUGGAUCCAGCUUGAGAUGGCUGGAAAUGAGCACCGAGUACAGCUCUAUGGGCCUUGGCUUCUUGAAAGCCUGGCCCCUUUGAAAAGCUAGGAGCUUGUGGCAAUGGGCGAGAGGACAGUCCUGAUGAACAGGGCUGUCAUUGUUGCGAGACUGCUCAGCACCUGCUUCAUGCCCGGCACCAUGCACUAGGAUUUAAGUGUUCAUUGGAAGCCGUCAUCUGAGUGAGCUUCCCAAUCAGGACAUCUGGCAGGGUCCAGUGACGUCUUCGAAGGAUGGUCACACCUGGGGAGGGGACGGGCUGUUUGCACCUGGUUUGUAAAGGCAAGGAUUCUGCUCAACACUCUUAUGGUGCACGGGACAGACUCCCACAGCAAAGAACAAUCCAGCCCAGACGCCAGCCGUGCCGGGGUUGGGAAAGCCUGGUCCACUGAUGAGCAAGAGAGACAGUGUCCCUGCCCUGCCACAUUUUGCAGAGAACAGACAGGAAGGGAGGAAAGGAAGAGAAAAAGCAACAAAGUAAAUUAGGGACAAAGAAAAGGGUCCGAGUUGAUUAGUGCUCGGGAAGGAGGCGGGGGCUGCAGUGAGAGCAGUGGUGACGGGGCCUUGGCCAAGGUCGGGUCGAUGGGGCCAGCUUCCUGUGCAGGGGGCGAGGUGUCCAAGCCCAGAGAGCCAGAGGGAAAGGAGACUCGGGUCAGGCCAGCUUGCCUGGCAGCAAGGGAAAGCAGCAGGGAAGGUCUGCACACAGGGAGAGACGGAGGGGGGUUCCAAGAUCCAGAGCCUCCGGAGCUCUUUGGAGGAGGUUGGGGUACGUGACGGGGAGCCAAAGCGUGCAGCCGAGGCAGACAGCUCGGAUAUCCAGUGGCCCCCAGGUAUUUACAGGGCUUCACUUCUGGGACCCCAUAGAUACCAGUGUCUGCAAUGCCAACACCGGAGGGACGCACAGACCCCUUAUGGAAAAUGACAUAGCAGAGCAUUUGCGUAUAUGUAGCCUACUUACCUCUUCCUGUGCAUUUCAGAAGUCUACGUGAUCCCUAACACUAUGUGAAUGCUGUGCAAACAGCUGUUACGCUGUGUUGUUCAGGGAACGGUGACAAGGAGAAUGUAUCUGUGCAUGCUCAGGACGGUCACAAUGUGUUCCUCUCCAUAUUCUCCGUCCCAGAUUGGCUGCGUCCAGGGAGAGAAACGCCCUAGGUCAGACGUGGCCUGGAGUAUCAGAUUGAAAGAACACAAAAGGGUAUACUGAGAAGAACGUUCCUGGUGUCAGAGAGAAAGAUGAGAACCUAUCAGGUGCUCGCCUUCCUCCUGGUCUUGGUGAUCGCCUCUGUGGCCUCUGAAAACGCCAGCACGUCCACGGGGCUGCGGGCUCGACCUCCUCCCUCAGUACGUGUCCCUGUGCGACCUGGACGCCAUUUGGGGCAUCGUGGUGGAGGCGGUGGCGGGGCAGGCGCCCUGAUCACGCUGCUCUUGAUGCUCAUACUCCUGGUGCGGCUGCCCUUCAUCAAGGACAAGGGAGAAGAAGAGGCCCGUGUGCCUCCACUUCCUCUUCCUCCUGGGGACCCUGGGCCUCUUUGGGCUGACGUUCGCCUUCAUCAUCCGGAUGGAUGAGACUAUCUGCUCAAUACGCCGCUUCCUCUGGGGUGUCC